rnacentral:rRNA from 1 species
ACAUAAUGCAACUAGCAAAAUCUAAUUAUCACUCGCUGACAUGAGUAGCGAUAAAGGGAGUGAGAAUCUCCCUCGCCGAAAUCCCAAGGUUUCCUGCGUAAAGCUAAUCUGCGCAGGGUUAGUCGGCCCCCAAGGCGAGGCCAAACGGCGUAGUCGAUGGGAAUCAGGUUAAUAUUCCUGAACCAGUGAGUAGUGACGAAGGACGUAAAUUGUCUAUCCUUAUUGGAUUGGGUAGGCAGUGAAGUACUUCCAGGAAAUAGCUCUCACAUUAGACCGUACCCUAAACCGACACAGGUGGGAAGGUAGAGUAUACCAAGGCGCUUGAGAGAACAACACUGAAGGAACUCGGCAAAUUGCACUUGUAACUUCGGGAGAAGAGUGGCCGUUAUUUGGGCAACCAGAUAGCGGUGGCACAAAAAAGGGGGUAGCGACUGUUUACUAAAAACACAGGGCUCUGCAAAGUCGUAAGACGAAGUAUAGGGCCUGACGCCUGCCCAGUGCCGGAAGGUUAAGAGGAGAUGUGCAAGCAUUGAAUUGAAGCCCCGGUGAACGGCGGCCGUAAAUAUGACGGUCCUAAGGUAGCGAAAUUCCUUGUCGGGUAAGUUCCGACCCGCACGAAUGGCGUAACGACUUCCCCGCUGUCUCCAGUGUUGACUCAGCGAAAUUGAAUUCUCCGUGAAGAUGCGGAGUUCCCGCGGUUAGACGGAAAGACCCCGUGCACCUUUACUACAACUUUACACUGGUGUUAGGGAUUGAAUGUGUAGGAUAGGUGGGAGACUUUGAAGCAUUGACGCCAGUCAGUGUGGAGUCAUCCUUGAAAUACCACCCUUUUAAUCCUUGACAUCUAACCUAGGUCCAUGAAUCUGGAUCAGAGACAAUGUAUGGUGGGUAGUUUGACUGGGGCGGUCGCCUCCUAAAGAGUAACGGAGGCGCGCGAUGGUGAGCUCAAGCUGGUCGGAAAUCAGCUUUUAGAGUGUAAUGGCAGAAGCUCGCCUUACUGCGAGACUGACAAGUCAAGCAGUGACGAAAGUCGGUCAUAGUGAUCCGGUGGUUCCACGUGGAAGGGCCAUCGCUCAACGAAUAAAAGGUACGCCGGGGAUAACAGGCUGAUGAUUCCCUAGAGUCCAUAUCGACGGAAUCGUUUGGCACCUCGAUGUCGACUCAUCACAUCCUGGGGCUGAAGCAGGUCCCAAGGGUUCGGCUGUUCGCCGAUUAAAGUGGUACGUGAGUUGGGUUUAGAACGUCGCGAGACAGUUCGGUUCCUAUCUGCCGUGGGUGUAAGAAAUUUGAGAGGAUCUGUCCCUAGUACGAGAGGACCGGGAUGGACAUACCUCUGGUGCACCAGUUGUCACGCCAGUGGCAUGGCUGGAUAGCUAAGUAUGGAAGGGAUAACCGCUGAAAGCAUCUAAGUGGGAAACCUACCUCAAAAUUAGAUUUCUCUAUCAGAGCCG